UGGUGCAUGGUUGUCGUCAGCUCGUGUCGUGAGAUGUUGGGUUAAGUCCCGCAACGAGCGCAACCCUCGACCUUAGUUGCCAGCAUUCAGUUGGGCACUCUAAGGUGACUGCCGGCUAAAAGUCGGAGGAAGGUGGGGAUGACGUCAAAUCAUCAUGCCCCUUAUGACCUGGGCUACACACGUGCUACAAUGGGCGGUACAAAGGGUCGCGAACCCGCGAGGGGGAGCCAAUCCCAAAAAGCCGCUCUCAGUUCGGAUUGCAGGCUGCAACUCGCCUGCAUGAAGCCGGAAUCGCUAGUAAUCGCGGAUCAACAUGCCGCGGUGAAUACGUUCCCGGGCCUU
rnacentral:rRNA from 1 species